UGUAAGAUAAAAACACAGUCUGGUUGGUAGUCCAGACGUAGCGGAAGCUAUCAGUAACCUGCCUCCUUGGUUGUCCCUUCUUAUUCAUAC
rnacentral:ncRNA from 1 species